rnacentral:miRNA from 1 species
AGUAGGCGGACCGAUGUUGUUUAG